rnacentral:rRNA from 1 species
GCUAACUGCGGGACGGGUACGGCGGUAAUACGUGGGUGGCAGUGUUGAUGCGGAAUUAUUGGGCGUAAAGCGCGGGUAGGCGGUUUUUGAAGUCUGAUGUGAAAGCCCACGGCUCAACCGUGGAGGGUCAUUGGAAACUGGAAAACUUGAGUGCAGAAGAGGAAAGUGGAAUUCCAUGUGUAGCGGUGAAAUGCGCAGAGAUAUGGAGGAACACCAGUGGCGAAGGCGACUUUCUGGUCUGUAACUGACGCUGAUGUGCGAAAGCGUGGGGAUCAAACAGGAUUAGAUACCCGUGUAGUC